AACUUUGUCCAAAAGUAAUCCAUCACAUUAGACAGUGCAUCGUUAUGGUCUGGAGGACGUUUGUGGCUUGUGGGCAGUUCUUGCUUGGGGGCCACGCCGACUGAAUCUGACAUUUAGUGUAAAUGAGUGCGAUAGCUGAUGGAGAGAAGAAAACUAUGGAUCUUUAAGAACCUGUCUGGAUCGCAAGAGCUGAAAGAGAGGUGUCAGUAGGUUCAUACAUUU
rnacentral:snoRNA from 1 species